rnacentral:rRNA from 1 species
AGUCGAGCGGGGAAGGUAGCUUGCUACCUGACCUAGCGGCGGACGGGUGAGUAAUGCUUAGGAAUCUGCCUAUUAGUGGGGGACAACGUUCCGAAAGGAACGCUAAUACCGCAUACGCCCUACGGGGGAAAGCAGGAGAUCUUCGGACCUUGCGCUAAUAGAUGAGCCUAAGUCGGAUUAGCUAGUUGGUGGGGUAAAGGCCUACCAAGGCGACAAUCUGUAGCGGGUCUGAGAGGAUGAUCCGCCACACUGGGACUGAGACACGGCCCAGACUCCUACGGGAGGCAGCAGUGGGGAAUAUUGGACAAUGGGCGGAAGCCUGAUCCAGCCAUGCCGCGUGUGUGAAGAAGGCCUUUUGGUUGUAAAGCACUUUAAGCGAGGAGGAGGCUCCUUUAGUUAAUACCUAAAGAGAGUGGACGUUACUCGCAGAAUAAGCACCGGCUAACUCUGUGCCAGCAGCCGCGGUAAUACAGAGGGUGCGAGCGUUAAUCGGAUUUACUGGGCGUAAAGCGUGCGUAGGCGGCUUUUUAAGUCGGAUGUGAAAUCCCUGAGCUUAACUUAGGAAUUGCAUUCGAUACUGGAAAGCUAGAGUAUGGGAGAGGAUGGUAGAAUUCCAGGUGUAGCGGUGAAAUGCGUAGAGAUCUGGAGGAAUACCGAUGGCGAAAGCAGCCAUCUGGCCUAAUACUGACGCUGA